rnacentral:rRNA from 1 species
GACGAACGCUGGCGGCGUGCUUAACACAUGCAAGUCGAACGCUGAAGCUCAGCUUUUGUUGGGUGGAUGAGUGGUGAACGGGUGAGUAACACGUGAGUAACCUGCCUCCUUCUUUGGGAUAACGCCCGGAAACGGGUGCUAAUACUGGAUAUUCACUGGUCUUCGCAUGGGGGUUGGUGGAAAGGGUUUUUCUGGUGGGGGAUGGGCUCGCGGCCUAUCAGCUUGUUGGUGGGGUGAUGGCCUACCAAGGCUUUGACGGGUAGCCGGCCUGAGAGGGUGACCGGUCACAUUGGGACUGAGAUACGGCCCAGACUCCUACGGGAGGCAGCAGUGGGGAAUAUUGCACAAUGGGCGCAAGCCUGAUGCAGCGACGCCGCGUGAGGGAUGGAGGCCUUCGGGUUGUGAACCUCUUUCGCUCAUGGUCAAGCCGCAACAAUGGUUGUGGUGAGGGUAGUGGGUAAAGAAGCGCCGGCUAACUACGUG